rnacentral:rRNA from 1 species
GUAGGUGGCAAGCGUUGUCCGGAUUUACUGGGCGUAAAGGGAGCGCAGGUGGCUCAUCAAGUCUGGGGUGAAAUCUCCCGGCUCAACCGGGAGGGGUCUCUGGAUACUGAUGGGCUUGAGGGAAGCAGAGGAAAGCGGAAUUCCCGGUGUAGCGGUGAUAUGCGUAGAUAUCGGGAGGAACACCAGUGGCGAAGGCGGCUUUCUGGGCUUUUCCUGACGCUGAGGCUCGAAAGCGUGGGGAGCGAACCGGAUUAGAUACCCGGGUAGUCCACGCCGUAAACGUUGGACACUAGGUGUGGGGGGUAUUGACCCCCCCUCCGUGCCGCAGCUAACGCAUUAAGUGUCCCGCCUGGGGAGUACGGCCGCAAGGCUA